UACGUAGGGCGCAAGCGUUUAUCCGGAAUUAUUGGGCGUAAAGGGCUCGUAGGCGGUUUGUCGCGUCGGGAGUGAAAACACUGGGCUUAACCCAGUGCUUGCUUUCGAUACGGGCAGACUAGAGGUAUGCAGGGGAGAACGGAAUUCCUGGUGUAGCGGUGAAAUGCGCAGAUAUCAGGAGGAACACCGGUGGCGAAGGCGGUUCUCUGGGCAUGAUCUGACGCUGAGGAGCGAAAGUGUGGGGAGCGAACAGG
rnacentral:rRNA from 1 species